rnacentral:rRNA from 1 species
GAUGAACGCUAGCGGCAGGCUUAACACAUGCAAGUCGAGGGGCAGCAUGACGGAACUUUCGGGUUCUGUUGAUGGCGACCGGCGCAAGGGUGCGUAACGCGUGAGCAAUUUGCCCGUUUCUGGGGCAUAACCGGUGGAAACGCCGACUAAUUCCCCAUAGUAUCCAUUGGAGGCAUCUCUAUUGGAUUAAAGAAAUUCGGAAACGGAUAGGCUCGCGUGACAUUAGCUAGAUGGCGGGGUAACGGCCCACCAUGGCGACGAUGUCUAGGGGUUCUGAGAGGAAGGUCCCCCACACUGGAACUGAGACACGGUCCAG